UUCAACCACUCCUCCCACCACCGACCUUAUCCUUUCUCUACGAUCCCAAGGACGCCGCUACCGCCGUUGUUACCUUUGCGGAUCCGUCGCCAUGGAACCCCAUUGGCACCUCAUUGGGAUCUCCGCUGCCGCUGUAGUCGCCUUCGAGGAUCCAUCACUAAUCCCUGGGAGGCCAUCGCCGAUCUCAUGAAGGCCGUCGCAAAUCAUGCACGUACGUGACACUCCUGUUUCUCGCCGUUGCCAUGGAACCCCACGGACGCUUCCGCCGCCGCCAAUCCGUGGGAGGCCGCCACACAACCCCACACACAACUCCACCUUUGGCAAUCCCAGGGAGGGUGCCGCCGAUCUCAGGAAGACCGUAUAAUGUAAGAUUUUGGGCGAGCUUCAUCUACGUUGAUGGUUGUGGCUGGGCCGCUGGGUACACAAUGCAUUCACCCUUAACAAUUUCACACAUAAGGUUCAGCCAAUUCCUUUGAGGUAUUAACAAGUAGCCAAGCUUUUAGUGUCAUCUCUACUCAGGGAAAGGGUGUGAAGACUAUACAUGUCAAAUCCUCAUAUGAAAUGUUGAUCUAUUGUGCUUCUAAAAUUAUAGAUUUCCGAAUAAUUAGAUGGCCAGUUAUGCAACACAAUAUUCCCAUAGUAUUGAAAUCUUCUGUUAUACAAAGUGUCCUUCAACAAAUGACGCUUGAACAUAAUAUGGGAUAUCCCAAAUCCAUAAGAGCAGGCUAUAUCUGAUAUUUUAUCCAUACAGAGUCGUCAGACUUGAUUUAUAUUUUCCGCUACUUAUCAAUAUGAUGGCCCGAUGUAAAUAAAUGAGGCCUGGCCAUCACUUAUACUUGGGAACUACUUUUCAGUGACAGCUGUAUUGACUAAGGGAACUACGGCGGGUUUAUGCCUACCUGAACUAUAUUCGAAACUAUCAGAGUGUACAACAGAUUACAGCAGCCUUAAAGG